rfam:Anopheles christyi strain ACHKN1017 cont1.1027, whole genome shotgun sequence.
CGGGCACUGGCUUCCUAUCGGUGCUUAGAUGGCAUAUGAAAUCGUUCUAGCACCAUUCGAAAUCAGUACCCG